CAGUGUGAAGUGGUGUGGCUGUGACAUCUGUCACCUGUUUAUCGCCAGGGUUGAUUUGGCUGAACUGGCUGGCUAGGCGGGCAUCCCUUCCUUCCUCACCGCUCCCUGUGCUUCCGUCCCGAAGCUGUGCGCUUGGUUGAAAAGUACCACCUUCCCCGCUAGAGGAGGACCGUUCUAGCUCCCCCGCUAGAGCCUCCACACAAACUCUCAUUUGAUUCUUUUUGUCUUUGGCCUGACAGUUCUAUUCUGCCCAUUGUCCAGUAUCUUACAUGAAAUGUUUACUG
rnacentral:sRNA from 1 species